GACGGGUGAGUAACACGUGGGCAACCUGCCUGUAAGACUGGGAUAACUUCGGGAAACCGGAGCUAAUACCGGAUAAUAUAAGGAACCUCCUGGUUCUUUAUUGAAAGAUGGUUUCGGCUAUCACUUACAGAUGGGCCCGCGGCGCAUUAGCUAGUUGGUGAGGUAACGGCUCACCAAGGCGACGAUGCGUAGCCGACCUGAGAGGGUGAUCGGCCACACUGGGACUGAGACACGGCCCAGACUCCUACGGGAGGCAGCAGUAGGGAAUCUUCCACAAUGGACGAAAGUCUGAUGGAGCAACGCCGCGUGAGCGAUGAAGGCCUUCGGGUCGUAAAGCUCUGUUGUUAGGGAAGAACAAGUGCGAGAGUAACUGCUCGCACCUUGACGGUACCUAACCAGAAAGCCACGGCUAACUACGUGCCAGCAGCCGCGGUAAUACGUAGGUGGCAAGCGUUGUCCGGAAUUAUUGGGCGUAAAGCGCGCGCAGGUGGUCCUUUAAGUCUGAUGUGAAAGCCCACGGCUCAACCGUGGAGGGUCAUUGGAAACUGGGGGACUUGAGUGCAGAAGAGGAAAGUGGAAUUCCAAGUGUAGCGGUGAAAUGCGUAGAGAUUUGGAGGAACACCAGUGGCGAAGGCGACUUUCUGGUCUGUAACUGACACUGAGGCGCGAAAGCGUGGGGAGCAAACAGGAUUAGAUACCCUGGUAGUCCACGCCGUAAACGAUGAGUGCUAAGUGUUAG
rnacentral:rRNA from 2 species